ACAAUGGGGGUGCUAUACAUGCAAGUCGAGCGAACAGAUAAGGAGCUUGCUCCUUUGACGUUAGCGGCGGACGGGUGAGUAACACGUGGGUAACCUACCUAUAAGACUGGGAUAACUUCGGGAAACCGGAGCUAAUACCGGAUAACAUUUGGAACCGCAUGGUUCUAAAGUGAAAGAUGGUUUUGCUAUCACUUAUAGAUGGACCCGCGCCGUAUUAGCUAGUUGGUAAGGUAACGGCUUACCAAGGCGACGAUACGUAGCCGACCUGAGAGGGUGAUCGGCCACACUGGAACUGAGACACGGUCCAGACUCCUACGGGAGGCAGCAGUAGGGAAUCUUCCGCAAUGGGCGAAAGCCUGACGGAGCAACGCCGCGUGAGUGAUGAAGGGUUUCGGCUCGUAAAACUCUGUUAUUAGGGAAGAACAAAUGUGUAAGUAACUGUGCACGUCUUGACGGUACCUAAUCAGAAAGCCACGGCUAACUACGUGCCAGCAGCCGCGGUAAUACGUAGGUGGCAAGCGUUAUCCGGAAUUAUUGGGCGUAAAGCGCGCGUAGGCGGUUUCUUAAGUCUGAUGUGAAAGCCCACGGCUCAACCGUGGAGGGUCAUUGGAAACUGGGAAACUUGAGUGCAGAAGAGGAAAGUGGAAUUCCAUGUGUAGCGGUGAAAUGCGCAGAGAUAUGGAGGAACACCAGUGGCGAAGGCGACUUUCUGGUCUGUAACUGACGCUGAUGUGCGAAAGCGUGGGGAUCAAACAGGAUUAGAUACCCUGGUAGUCCACGCCGUAAACGAUGAGUGCUAA
rnacentral:rRNA from 1 species